UACGUAGGGUGCGAGCGUUAAUCGGAAUUACUGGGCGUAAAGCGUGCGCAGGCGGUUCGUUGUGUCCGUCGUGAAAGCCCCGGGCUAACCUGGGAACUGCGAUGGAAACUAGCGAGCUGGAGUGUGGCAGAGGGGGGUGGAAUUCCGCGUGUAGCAGUGAAAUGCGUAGAGAUGCGGAGGAACACCGAUGGCGAAGGCAGCCCCCUGGGCUAACACUGACGCUCAGGCACGAAAGCGUGGGGGAGCAAACAGG
rnacentral:rRNA from 1 species